rnacentral:RNase_P_RNA from 1 species
GAAGCUGACCAGACAGUCGCCGCUUCGUCGUCGUCCUCCUUCGGGGGGAGACGGGCGGAGGGGAGGAAAGUCCGGGCUCCAUAGGGCAAGGUGCCAGGUAACGCCUGGGGGGUGUCACAGCCCACGACCAGUGCAACAGAGAGCAAACCGCCGAUGGCCCGCGCAAGCGGGAUCAGGUAAGGGUGAAAGGGUGCGGUAAGAGCGCACCGCGCGGCUGGUAACAGUCCGCGGCACGGUAAACUCCACCCGGAGCAAGGCCAAAUAGGGGUUCAUAAGGUACGGCCCGUACUGAACCCGGGUAGGCUGCUUGAGCCAGUGAGCGAUUGCUGGCCUAGAUGAAUGACUGUCCACGACAUUUCACCUUUUUAUGUCAAAACCCCGCUACGGCGGGGUUUUUGCUAUUCGAAUAGCGGAGAAAGGAUGAAUGACUGUCCACGACGCUAUACCAAAAGAAAGCGGAUUAGCGGUCAGUUUCACCU